GUGCCAGCAGCCGCGGUAAUACGUAGGGGGCUAGCGUUGUCCGGAAUCAUUGGGCGUAAAGCGCGCGUAGGCGGUCAGGUAAGUCCGGUGUGAAAGUCAAAGGCUCAACCUUUGAAUGCCGCUGGAUACUGCUUGACUUGAGUCCGGAAGGGGCGAGUGGAAUUCCUGGUGUAGCGGUGAAAUGCGCAGAUAUCAGGAGGAACACCAAUGGCGAAGGCAGCUCGCUGGAACGGUACUGACGCUGAGGCGCGAAAGCGUGGGGAGCGAACAGGAUUAGAUACCCGCGUAGUCC
rnacentral:rRNA from 1 species